ACCUGACUGCUAUCGGAUUGAUACUAAGCCAUGCGAGUCAUUGUAGCAAUACAAGGCAUACGGCUCAGUAACGCGUAGUCAACCUAACCUAUGGACGGGAAUAACCUCGGGAAACUGAGAAUAAUGCCCGAUAGAACACCAUACCUGGAAUGGUUUGUGUUCCAAAUGAUUUAUCGCCAUAGGAUGGGACUGCGGCCUAUCAGUUUGUUGGUGAGGUAAUGGCCCACCAAGACUAUUACAGGUACGGGCUCUGAGAGGAGUAGCCCGGAGAUGGGUACUGAGACACGGACCCAGGCCCUAUGGGGCGCAGCAGGCGAGAAAACUUUGCAAUGUGCGAAAGCACGACAAGGUUAAUCCGAGUGAUUUGUGCUAAACGAAUCUUUUGUUAGUCCUAGAAACACUAACGAAUAAGGGGUGGGCAAGUUCUGGUGUCAGCCGCCGCGGUAAAACCAGCACCUCAAGUGGUCAGGAUGAUUAUUGGGCCUAAAGCAUCCGUAGCCGGCUCUGUAAGUUUUCGGUUAAAUCUGUACGCUUAACGUACAGGCUGCCGGGAAUACUGCAGAGCUAGGGAGUGGGAGAGGUAGACGGUACUCGGUAGGAAGUGGUAAAAUGCUUUGAUCUAUCGAUGACCACCUGUGGCGAAGGCGGUCUACCAGAACACGUCCGACGGUGAGGGAUGAAAGCUGGGGGAGCAAACCGGAUUAGAUACCCGGGUAGUCCCAGCUGUAAACUAUGCAAACUCAGUGAUGCAUUGGCUUGUGGCCAAUGCAGUGCUGCAGGGAAGCCGUUAAGUUUGCCGCCUGGGAAGUACGUACGCAAGUAUGAAACUUAAAGGAAUUGGCGGGGGAGCACCACAAGGGGUGAAGCCUGCGGUUC
rnacentral:rRNA from 1 species